rnacentral:rRNA from 1 species
AACGAACGCUGGCGGCAGGCCUAACACAUGCAAGUCGAACGAAGCUUAUUUCUUCGGAGAUAAGACUGAGUGGCGGACGGGUGCGUAACACGUGGGAAUCUACCUUAUAGUGGGGGAUAACUUCUGGAAACGGGAGCUAAUACCGCAUACGCCCUUCGGGGGAAAGAUUUAUCGCUAUAAGAUGAGCCCGCGGUGGAUUAGGUAGUUGGUGGGGUAAAGGCCCACCAAGCCGAUGAUCCAUAGCUGGUUUGAGAGGAUGAUCAGCCACACUGGGACUGAGACACGGCCCAGACUCCUACGGGAGGCAGCAGUGGGGAAUCUUAGACAAUGGGGGCAACCCUGAUCUAGCCAUGCCGCGUGAGUGAAGAAGGCCUUAGGGUUGUAAAGCUCUUUCACCUGUGAGGAUGAUGACAGUAGCAGGAUAAGAAGGACCGGCUAACUCCG